rnacentral:tmRNA from 1 species
GGGCUUGACUGGAUUUGACGGCGGCUGAGGUGGUAUGUAAGCACGCGGAGCCUCGUUGGCUUGCUCCUAAAACUAAGCGAUCGACAAAUUAAUUGGCGAAAACAAUUACGCUCUCGCUGCCUAAUCGAAGCAUAGUAGAUUACUGGCUUUAUCCCGUCACCAGGUGAUGGGACGAGACAUCGCUCAAGGGCUCUUUUUCCGAAACUCCUUGGUGUAGCGGUGCAGUUACGUCGGAAAUAGUCUUCAGGAGGCCUCGGUCCGAAGAUGAAACUCUUAGAGGAUAAGGUAUUGGUUGGUGGUCCAGGUCUUGCCAAUACACGAAAACCAAAGGCUGGAAUAAGCGUGUAGAAAGCAUAUGGUCUAACCGUGCGGACGAGGGUUCGAAUCCCUCCAGGUCCACA